GGGGAAUAUUGGACAAUGGACCAAAAGUCUGAUCCAGCAAUUCUGUGUGCACGAUGACGUUUUUCGGAAUGUAAAGUGCUUUCAGUUGGGAAGAAAAAAAUGACGGUACCAACAGAAGAAGUGACGGCUAAAUACGUGCCAGCAGCCGCGGUAAUACGUAUGUCACAAGCGUUAUCCGGAUUUAUUGGGCGUAAAGCGCGUCUAGGUGGUUAUGUAAGUCUGAUGUGAAAAUGCAGGGCUCAACUCUGUAUUGCGUUGGAAACUGCAUGACUAGAGUACUGGAGAGGUAAGCGGAACUACAAGUGUAGAGGUGAAAUUCGUAGAUAUUUGUAGGAAUGCCGAUGGGGAAGCCAGCUUACUGGACAGAUACUGACGCUAAAGCGCGAAAGCGUGGGUAGCAAACAGGAUUAGAUACCCUGGUAGUCCACGUCGUAAACGAUGAUUACUAGGUGUUGGGGGUCGAACCUCAGCGCCCAAGCUAACGCGAUAAGUAAUCCGCCUGGGGAGUACGUACGCAAGUAUG
rnacentral:rRNA from 1 species